GAGUAUGCCAGAAAGAGGAUCAAAUGUAUACUGCUGGAGCACCAACUUGGUUCUCUAUAUCUGAGGUGUGUCGCAGCUGCAGCUCAAAGACCAAUCAGGAGGAGCGUAAAAGAGGCACAGACACCACAAGACAGAUAUCAGAUUGUUUGCUCACCUAACAUGUUCAUGAUUUUUUCAAGUUCCCACGCUCCAGUGCUCUGCCUCCUCAAUCCUUUGACUAUUUGAAUAAUCCUUCCAAGAUCAUUACCACAAUGUAUCCACUUUCCUCUGGAUGCACGAU